rnacentral:lncRNA from 1 species
GUUCGCCGGGUCCUGCGCAGCAAUGCGUCUGCUUGCUGGUGGAAUUCGCCAGCCGCCAGCCUCGCUGGCCCAGGUGCUUGACAGCAUCAAAGGUCAAAGUGUGUUCUUCAUGCUAACAUCUAUGAGAAAACCGAACGCUUCUUUUUCUGAAAGUGCUCAGAUUUAUUCUGCUGAAUAUCGGUUCGUACAAACGACAGCCGCAUUACAGUUUAUUGUCACAUCAAAAGGGAAAGGCCAAAAAAAUAUAUAACUUAGGCAAGAUUUUUGAAACUUUAUUGAAACUCGAAAGACAAACUGCUGUCUCUUCCUCCAGUGAUGUUCUUCCUCCUUCAAUCUCUACCUUCCCCAAAAUGAUGUACAUACAGCCCUUAGAUGAGAAAACGUUUAUUGAAGAUGGUUGUCUCAACUUCCAAACCUUCAGCCUUGUCUCUCCGCUCAACCUUUUUUUAAAAAUAAAACUUCAUCUGAUUUUAAUCGACUAUUGCCAUCAUCGUCGAUAAAUGUUUCUUGACAGAAUACUGCUGAUUCUGAGAAUUGGGAAAGAAAGAAAUUGUCCAGAUAGUUCUCUGAUAUACUUGGGAAGGACAUACAUCUUUAUUUAUUUAUUUAUUCAUUAUUUAUUCAAUAAUGGUGUAAUGUGACAUGUGCUAAAUUUCUAAAUGAAAGGUGUCAAUAAUAAGGGCUACAGGAUCUGGGAGCAGGGAGUCAUUUCGGACGGCAGAAGAUGCGUCAGGAGGAAAUAUUCAGACUGAAAGGACUGCAAUAAGUAAAAAGUGGGACGAUGAAAGGGCAGAUGUCUGAAUGGAAUGCUGCCAGGCUUCUUCCAGGAACAACAAAUGAGU